AUACGUAGGGGGCGAGCGUUAUCCGGAAUUAUUGGGCGUAAAGAGUGCGUAGGAGGUUACCUAAGCGCAGGGUUUAAGGCUACGGCUUAACUGUAGUUCGCCCUGCGAACUGGGCAACUUGAGUGCAGGAGCGGAAAGCGGAAUUCCUAGUGUAGCGGGGAAAUGCUUAGAUAUUAGGAGGAACACCAGUGGCGAAGGCGGCUUUCUGGACUGAAACUGACACUGAGGCACGAAAGCGUGGGGAGCAAACAGGAUUAGAUACCCUGGUAGUCCACGCCGUAAACGAUGAGCACUAGGUGUCGGGGGGAUCACCCUCGGUGCCGGAGUUAACGCAUUAAGUGCUCCGCCUGGGGAGUACGCACGCAAGUGUAAAACUCAAAUGAAUUGACGGGG
rnacentral:rRNA from 1 species